rnacentral:rRNA from 1 species
UACGGAGGGGGCGAGCGUUGUUCGGAGCCAUUGGGCGUAAAGGGCGCGUAGGCGGCCGGCCAAGUCGGGUGUGAAAUCCCUCGGCUCAACCGAGGAACUGCACUCGAUACUGGCUGGCUUGAGUCCGGGAGGGGAUGGUGGAAUUCCCAGUGUAGCGGUGAAACGCGUAGAUAUUGGGAAGAACACCGGUGGCGAAGGCGGCCAUCUGGACCGGAACUGACGCUGAGGCGCGAAAGCCAGGGGAGCGAAUGGG